rnacentral:lncRNA from 1 species
GUUUAUGACUUCACAGCCUGAUCCUUUCUAUACAUGCCUCAUUCCAUCUUGGAUUUUGUUCCCCACCUUUUAAGCACUGUUCACAAUUGCAAAGACCUGGAACCAACCUGAAUACCCAUCAAUGAUAGACUGGAUGAAGAAAAUGUGGCACGUAUACACCAUGGACUACUAUGCAGCCAUACAAAAGCACGGAAAGGGGUGGCUGGCAAGAUGGCCAAAUAGGAACAGCUCUGGUCUGCAGCUCCCAGUGAGAUCAACACAGAAGGUUACUGGGGUGCAGGUGGUGUUUGGUUACAUAAGAGGGGACUUGACAAGAUGA